UUUCCGUAGGUGAACCUGCGGAAGGAUCAUUCAUAAUAAAGUGUUUUAUGGCACUUUUUAAAAAUCCAUAUCCACCUUGUGUGCAAUGUUAGAUCUCGUCAAUCUUGGCGAGAUUUUUAUACAUCAACUCAUUCUUUAACUAAUUUGUCUGAAAAUAUUAUGAAUACUUAAUUCAAAAUACAACUUUCAACAACGGAUCUCUUGGCUCUC
rnacentral:misc_RNA from 1 species